AUCAUUUUGUGGCUGAUAUGUGUGAUGAGGGGGUUUUCACACUCUUAUGUGGGAUGGGAAACGUCUUUAGAACAGUGGCACUUUACCUGUCUUAUA
ensembl:snoRNA